UUUUGAGAAGAGGAAAAGCUAAAAUUCCGUUUGCGCCGCCCGGGAAUCGAACCCGGGUCGCAAGAAUGGGAAUCUUGCAUGAUACCACUACACCAGCGGCGCUCGCGGCGGCUCGGGCGCCUGGGGAGCUUACAGGAUGUGACGCAACUUUCCCCGCGCAGGACUCCGCGGCGCCGCCUCGGUGCCCGGAGACCAAGCGCACGAGCCGGGGUACGGGCGUCUGCAUUCGGGCCCGCGCCGUGGACACCAUGACAACCCGCGGCCUUCGGAGCCGCUAGGGUCAAGGCCCCGGCCGGGCUCCUAGAGGAGCGGGGCUUCGGGGGUCGGGGGCUUUGUGGUGGGCGGGACUGUAGGCGGCUGUCGGGCUUACAGGGGCUCUGUGGGUAAAACUGUAACAUUUCCAGAAUUAUCUCGCCUGGCUUUGGUGCAUUUGCAUAUCCUCGGGUGGAGAGAAGUUCGUCUCCCUGUCAAUGGAGGUAUUUUGCCCCGGGAUUUCCUCUCCCCGGACUUACAGGCUCGCAGGCGGGCGGCCGGCCUCGUGGUGCACUGGGCCUUCUGUGUCUACGGAGUGACGGGCGCCAGCCGAGUCCGCGGGCGUCGCGGUGCCGCUGGCCCUGAAUCACGUGGGAGGCCGAGUCCUGCCGAGGUUCCGCCGGGGUUCGGGGCCGGUCUGGAGGCCGAGGGGCGUGGCCCCUGAUCAGGUGCGGCCUCGCCCAGCGGGCAGGCUUUCCUGAGCGAACCCCCUUCCCGAGGCCGCUUGGCCAGAGCUCACAGGUGGCCUGACCCGGGCUUUGACCCGGGAACCCCCUCCGGGGGCGUUCGGCGGGGAGAAAGUCGCCUCCCGGUUCCAGACAGCCCGGCGGCGCCCCCCCCGCGUUCCCACUGGCUUUCCGUUUCGCAGCCCCACUCUUCUUACCUGACACACCUGCGCUUCACCGCAUCCUGCUUUGUUGUUUUGGGGUCCAGACGUCCCAAAUAAGGUACCAGCUCCCUCCAGAGGCCCUACAGGAAGGUCCUUCCUCACCACUUCCAGCAUCAAGAGGCUUCAGGGGCUCCCGGGCUUGACCACCUUACCCGGGUCGCGGCCUCCGUCCUCACCUAGUUUCUACUCUGCCUUCUGUGUUCACAUCUCCCCCUGCUGCUGCUUCUAAGGACAUCGGACACUAGAUUCAGAUCCCACCCUAAUCCAGGUUGACCUUAUCUCAAAAUCCUUGCCUUAAUUAUAUCUGCAAACACCAUUAUUCCAAAUAAGGUCAUUUCCUGAGGCUCUGGGUGGAUGUUAUCUUUGGGAGCCACCAUUCAACCCGCUGCGCUUGGGUUUGGGGACAGGUCCAGACAGCCCUAGACACCAGGCAGCAGGUGCAGAGACACCCCAACCGGAGCCAGUUCCUGGACGCUGCCAGCCCAGUGGGUACAGAUGUCAGCCUGGGAAGUUAGACGGACAGAGAAGCUGAACUUCUUUCUCCUCGUGUGUUACAUCGUGGUAUCAUCCUUGAAGCCCUCUGGAAGAGGGAAAGAGUGCCUGUUCUCACGAGCCGCCUCGGCGGGGCUGGAGGCCCUUGCUUAGCCAGUGCCAGGAUGCAAUGCCAGGCCAGGGCAGGUUUGCUGCUCAUAGUCAGCCUGUAGGACGAAGGCCUCACCUGGCAGAACCCAGCCAGGAGUGACCCUCAUCCUGGCCCAGGCCCCUCGGCUGGCUCUGCCCGUCUGCAGGGGGAUACCUCCGCUCCCAGGGUCCGCACAGCACCCCAGCCCG